UAAGUCUCAGUUCGGAUUGAAGGCUGAAAUUCGCCUUCAUGAAGCCGGAAUUGCUAGUAAUGGCAGGUCAGCAUACUGCCGUGAAUACGUUCCCGGGCCUUGUACACACCGCCCGUCACACCAUGAGAGUUGGGAAUACCCGAAGCCUGUGAGCUAACUAUACGAGGCAGCAGUCGAAGGUAGAAUCAAUGAUUGGGGUGAAGUCGUAACAAGGUAUC
rnacentral:rRNA from 1 species